AUUGAACGCUGGCGGCAUGCCUUACACAUGCAAGUCGAACGGUAACAGGUCUUCAGAUGCUGACGAGUGGCGAACGGGUGAGUAAUACAUCGGAACGUGCCUAGUAGUGGGGGAUAACUACUCGAAAGAGUGGCUAAUACCGCAUGAGAUCUACGGAUGAAAGCAGGGGAUCGCAAGACCUUGUGCUACUAGAGCGGCCGAUGGCAGAUUAGGUAGUUGGUGGGAUAAAAGCUUACCAAGCCGACGAUCUGUAGCUGGUCUGAGAGGACGAUCAGCAACACGGGGACUGAGAAACGGCCCAGACUCCUACGGGAGGCAGCAGUGGGGAAUUGUGGACAAGGGGCGAAAGCCUGAUCCAGCAAUGCCGCGUGCAGGAUGAAGGCCUUCGGGUUGUAAACUGCUUUUGUACGGAACGAAAAGCCCCGGGUUAAUACCCUGGGGUCAUGACGGUACCGUAAGAAUAAGCACCGGCUAACUACGUGCCAGCAGCCGCCGUAA
rnacentral:rRNA from 1 species